GAUGAAGAACGUAGCGAAAUGCGAUAAGUAAUGUGAAUUGCAGAAUUCAGUGAAUCAUCGAAUCUUUGAACGCACAUUGCGCCCCCUGGUAUUCCGGGGGGCAUGCCUGUUCGAGCGUCAUUUCACCACUCAAGCCUCGCUUGGUAUUGGGCAACGCGGUCCGCCGCGUGCCUCAAAUCGUCCGGCUGGGUCUUCUGUCCCCUAAGCGUUGUGGAAACUAUUCGCUAAAGGGUGUUCGGGAGGCUACGCCGUAAAACAACCCCAUUUCUAAGGUUGACCUCGGAUCAGGUAGGGAUACCCGCUGAACUUAAGCAUAUCAAAAGCGGAGGA
rnacentral:misc_RNA from 1 species